AAUAGAUUUAUUAGUGAGCAAACUAAUAUCUUCGGAAGAACUUCCAGGCUAAUAUGGUAUUGGGAGCAUCAGGGCCCAUAUACCCGAGGCGGAGGGCCCAUAUACAAGGCGGUAAACGCACGGAUAUUCAGCAUGACCAUGCUGAGGGUGACGGGUUCGAUUCCCGGUCGGUCCAGGAUCUUUUCGUAAAGGAAAUUUCCUUGAUUUCCUCGGGCAUAGAGUAUCUUCGUGCCUGCCACACGAUAUACACAUGCAAAAUGGUCAUUGGCAGAGGAAGCUCUCAGUUAAUAACUGUGGAAGUGCUCAUAGAACACUAAGCUGAGAAGCAGGCUUUGUCCCAGUGAGGACGUUACGCCAAGAAGAAGAAGAAGAAGAAGAUGCUGAGGGUGACGGGUUCGAUUCCCGGUCGGUCCAGGAUCUUUUCGUAAAGGAAAUUUCAUUGACUUCCUUGGGCAUAGAGUAUCUUCGUGCCUGCCACACGCUAUACACAUGCAAAAUGGUCACUAUGGUGAGAAGCAGGCUUUGUCCCAGUGAGGACGUUACGCCAAGAAGAAGAAGAAGAGGAGAAGAGCAUCAGUUCUUCGGCAUCAAGCAGAACGAUGGGUGGUUUAUUGAGUCAUUAGCUUUGGUGAUAAUCUCAACUACUGGUUGCACCUUCGGGCUUGAUGUCGGCGAUCUAAACCUGGCAAUCGGCAAUGUUUUCUUCCCAUUGUUUUUUUUUUCGUAAAAUUCUAUUAACAUACAAGUUAAAAUUGAAAUCGAAGCAAAGUUCGAGCUUUUUUACAUGAAAAUUUUUUUGAAGGGGGGGGGGUUGUUCAACAAGCUACGUCAUUUAUAUAGGGGGGUAUCUGAAUUUGUGACGAAAUGCUACGAGGGGGGAGGGGGUAUUAAAAAUCGCUUAAAAAAAGCUACGUCAUUUAUGGACGCCCCCUUACUUUUCCUGUGAGAAAUGUUAAUCGGUCGUUGCUGUUUGUCCCCGAUCAAAGAUAGCCGAAAACUGGAAAUCGCUCUUUUCAUUUUCGUUAUCCAACUUUAUCGCCUGCAAAGUUAUCGCUAUAAUUAUCAGAAAGCAAAUAACAAAAAUUUGCCGCUAACAGGAUUCGAACCACAAAAUUGUGAAUGAACGUGCACCAUAACAACACGACCACACAAGCUGCUCGAGAGGGGACAGAAAUUUUAUACAUAAAAGCUACAGUCGUUGACGACUGCACUACGGAGAGGCGAACAAAGAGCAGAAAGCAAACCAGUCAGCUCGUCAGUUCGCAUCGUACUCUUGUGCUGUGCGGACGUAAGCUCUCUCUGCUGCAGGAAGUUUUACUACCUAAAGUUUUACUACCUACAGAUUCCUUUUCAAUCCUGGACCCGUGCCUUCGAUUAUUCGUUGGACCCGUUUACGGAAGUAAAACUUCGUGAAACGGUGGUAAUCCUACUUGGACACCGAAUGGGGGAAAAACCUCCUGGAAGGUCGCUUCUAAUUAAAUCAUGGUUGCAUCAUCGACCAAAAGGAAGGGUGUAUCCUUUUUUUUUAUUUAUCUGUAUUAACGAGAUUUUUAGCCCUAGGCUAGUUCAUCUCGGGACCCACGCUUUACUUCCCUUCCGAAGGAAGAAUUCACAUCUGUGUGAGUUUGUCGGGAGUGGGAUUCGAUCCCAGGUCCUCGGCGUGGUAGUCACGUGCUUUAACCAUCACACCAGGUCCGCUCCACAGGGUGAAUCCUUGAAUUCACCACUUCCUUCCAAAAAAGUCGGUUUCAAAACUGUCGCUAAACGCGGCAAAGUUAGAAGGAAUGCAGAACUUUCAGCUUCAACGCUUCCUUCUACUAAAACAAUUGUUUCGGAUGAAAAUUUCGUUGAAAUGAGUAAUCCCUAUGAAAAACUGAACAAUUUUUCGGAAUAACAAAUUGAGGAUGCCUCUAGUCCAGGUACUCCAAUUUCUGCUUAAAAAAACAAUGGAUGCCGCCAAUCGUGGUCAGCGUCUGUGAAUUUGCUGGUUUUAGGCAGGAGAUCUUGAACUCCAUAAGGGUAAUCAAGGUUUCCUUCCAAAUUGCCAGGAAAGGAGACUGCCGCGUAUUGCCGGAAACCCUGAAAGAUCGGGAUCUUCUUCUUAAGUGCUUUACUGAGAAGAAGUAUAAAUUUUUCACAUACGACGACAGGUCUGCACGCUUGUUCAAAGUCGUAUUGAAGGGUCUCUCAAGUGAUGAUAAAUCGCCUGAUGAGAUCAAAAAUGAUUUUUUUUAAUUUCUUUGUAUUUGUGAAUUUUAACUUAAUGCUAAUUCUUCACACAAUCAAAAGUUAACUCAACUCAUUACUUGGAUUCAAACCAGUCCAAGUAAUAAAAAUGAAAAAGAGAACCCGCUCUGAGAAUUCUCAGCAGGGUAUCUCUCAAGAAUUUUAUUUAGUUCACUUUAACAAAAGUGAUCUAAAUAACUUGAAAUAUUUGGACAAGGCGAAGAAAAUGCUUCAUGUCCUAGUGACAUGGGAACAUUUUCGUAAACCUGGGGGAAAUUUCUAGAUCCCAACUCAGUGCCGUCAGGGCUAAGGUUGGGGGCACGGAACGAAACAUUGCCACAUGGAUGCUAAAUGCAUGAUUUGUGGAGGUUCUUCUCAUAAAGGUAUGCGGUAUACCGAAUGAUUUCGAAAAAUACACCUCGAAACGAAAAUCUACGGAAUUCCACGGAAUUCACCUAGGCGAAAUUUAAGAUUUUGAAUUUCGUUUCGUUUCGCCAAAUUCUAAAAAUUUCGUCUCCUAAAAAUAGAUUUUGACGAAAUUAAACGGAAUUCCACGGAAUGUCUAAUAAAUUUCGAAAACAAAUAAAUAGUGUAAAUGUCCACAACAAGAUCUGGCUAAUCUCAUGUCACAGAAAAGUGUUUAAUAAACCAUCUCAAGAAGCGAGAGACAAACUACUCCCAGGUUCUAUAAUAAAGACAGAAAAAAUCUCGAAUAUACUUCUGAUGGACCUACCAUCAAGAUCUUGCUUAAUAGGUACUUUCAACAUUUGCGGUAUGCGGGACCAUGCUUAAUAUUUUGGAUAAAUUUUCUGCUGAACCAAAUGCAAAAAAAACACGAGUUUGGAUUUCAUCAGAUUAUUCACCAACAUACUCUGGGCUGAGGAUAUCAGGUGAGAUUUUUUUUAAAUACAUAAGUUCUGAAAAAUCUAUUAAUUUUUUUCUUCAACUGUUGUAACAAUAUAGCUCUAGAUUAGUUGAUUUCGGGAGCCACAGUCUCGAAUCAACAGACCCGAAAGUACAACUCACAUUUUACACCCGAUUCCUUUUUUGCACGGGUCGUAAUUUUGCUAUAACUCAGUCAAUUUUGAACCAAUUCUCAAGAAAUUUUGUACACUGAUAGUAUUAACCCUCGAGCGAUCGCGCUGUUGUAUUUUGUACAACACGAUGAAAAAAAUCUCGCUUUUGGUACUCAGCAUUAGCGUGGUGCUGACGGUAUGGUUCGAUGGGGACAGUCAUAUGUGUUCUAUCAUGCUAGACACUACAUUUUGAUCAAGCAAGCUGUAGCACAACCGUAACAAUUUGGCAAGCUCAUACCGUGACAACUCUGGUUAGAGAUCAAACAAUUGCAUUAUGAUUCAAAAUACAACCGAAAUGCAAUUGUUUGGUAUAGUACGAUAAACUAGCCCGUUGUGAUACGGCAAGUAUAAAUCAAAUUUCAUAGUGCUGAGUUGCAAAAAGAUAUUUAAUUUUUUUAGAAACCUAUUGAACUCAAAGUUGGCAUCAAAUCCCUCCAAAGUAAGCUGAAUGAUUUGACAAUGUUUCAGGCAUUUUGGCCACCAAAAACCCCCCACGAUGGAGAGAACAAACCUGCCAAUAAUAUGUGACGUUGGUUAAGUAUUUGAAAUAAGUCAUGUUUAGAAGUAUGUACACCACGAAUAAUACUUUUUAUAUUUAGAGUCAAAAUGUUGAAUAUUCGAUGGGCUAAACGUGUUUUAAUCUAAGUUUUUAUAAGAAAUCAUUGUAUAAAAAGGUAUUAGAAGAUUUUUUUUAGUGUCAUCCUAAGUUUGUUUGUAAAAAAAAUAAUAUCUCUUGAACCAUAAGAGGAACAUCUGUUUAUUGGGACCUGAAAUUAUGGAAGGAUCGGGCUAAAAUAAAUAGAAACUUCAAUGUAAAUGUACUUUCGACUUCCAAAUCAGUAUGACAAAUUUCCAAAACUAUCAACAUGAUGCCUUUCAAUCUAAUAUAAAAACUUGAUUGUCCCAAAAACCGAUGUGAAUAUUUUAUAUUGACGACCCGCUGGCUAUAGGUUAUCAUUUUCUUUAUCAUCGUCUCCAUCCGUAACCAAACGUUUUACAAUUUCGUCGUUCCUAAGUGUACAUGUUCCAUUAAAAAUAUUUUCUGCUGUUUCAAAAAUUUAUUUAUGAAGCAGGUGAAGAAACCCAAACUCUGCAAUUUGCAGCUUAAGCCUGGCUUAGCGCUGCUAAGCUACCUCAGAUCUCCGCUUAAUUGAAAAAAAGUUAAGCCCGGCUUAAAAUAUUGCUAAGCUUGGUUUAAAAUUUUAGCCCGGGUGAAGAAAUCGGCCCUUAGUGGACAAAAGAGCUGUAAUUUUUUUUAAGUGAUUGAAGAAUAAAAAAUACACGCAAACAAAAUUUCGUUUCAAAAUCAAAGGCCACACUUUUUAAUGUUUUGAUUUUCUUUUUAAGAAAAGCAAUAUAGUUGCCUAACUUUCUUUCAAACAUCAAAGAAGGAAAACAUGUUUUCCAACAAAAACUUUUUCAUGUUAUUUUUUAGCGUGUUGCGCCUUAACUCGUACAGGAUGUAUCGAGAAUUCUUAUAGCAAUCCAAUAACACUCAAGAGCCAUAUAAUGUGGAAAAACAUAAUUCUGUAGUUCAAGUCUUGGACGUAUCACCGAUAUCAUCAAGAAAUAUAUGGAGUAUGGAUUAUUGUUCAAAAGUCCAUUGCAAUUAUAAAAGCGGUUAUUAAAAAAAAUAUUUGGUAUGAACCCAGACGAAGCCAAUAAAUUGGAAGAUUCCGACGAAAUGAUCAUGCAGCUUAGAGAUAAAUUUAACUACUAGGUAAAUCGAUAAAAUUAAAGUGCUAUCAGUUUUACCCGAGUUGUGGUCAGUGAAUAAAAUAUUAAGUGAAUGCGAUGCAACACAUCACAAAGUAAAACAAAUAAAAAUACUUGUAAAAGAGCAAGGUAUUCUUUGCAGCUCCGAAGCUAAAUGUGGGCACGGGUUUAGUGAUGUUGAUAAGCAAUUAUGGUUGAUUUUUUAGACAGUGAGGAUAUUAACAGGGCCAUGCCUGGAUCUAAUGACUAUGUUUCUGGAAUCCAGAAUGGUCAGAGAGAACAUAUACAAAAGCGUUUGCUGAAGAUGUCUCUGAAAGAAGCAUACAUGACUUUUGAAGAAAAUUACAAACAUGUUGAAAUUCAGAUCAGACCUAAGCAUUAUUGUAUACUUCUGGAUAAUACAGGCACACAUACUCUACGUGUUUGUACUUUACAUGAAAAUGUCAAAUUGAUGACUAAUAGUGUGAAAUUUGAUUCAAUUAAAGAAAUUACAGACAAAAUGCGUUGCAGUAAUUCUAUACAAACCACAGGUUGUUUUUUUUUCGUACCGUCGAUGGGGGUGAAAUUGGGUUGAAACGGAGAAACAUAAAAUAUGAAAUAGCUCAUCAACUAUCGUUAAUUUAUAUUGAAAACUUUAUAGUAUUUCAAAGAGGAGAUGUUUUUACACUUCAUGAUGCAGAAUAAGAUGUUUAGCAAUAAUCGUUUUUUUUUUUUUGUUAAAUUUGUGGCUAAAUUUAUAUGAUGAAACUACUAGUAAAUCACUCUGAAAAAAUUUCUCCUUCGUAAUGUUUCACACAAGUACCUAACCAUAAAUUCUCUUAUAAGUGGUUAGCUGUAAGUAUUACCUAAUUGAUGCAAUGAAAAAAGCGGGCUGUCAUUGCUCUCUUUAUUUAAAAAAAAUCAAUAUUUUCGACCCUAUGUCAAAAUAUUAAGAAUGGGGGUGAGAUUGGGUCAAGCAAGUUAUUGAGUACGCAUAACCUUAACUAAAAAUUCAACUUGUUAUACAGUCCCCAUUUGACGUUAGAGUGGUGCCAUGUUUACCGUAUCUUCAUAAAAGCAUUUUUUUUUUCGAAAAUAUGUCGAAGAAGUAUCAAGCGAGUGUGUUCCUACGAUUAGUGCUUAAAAUCAUUUAUAACAAUAAACCCAUGCGUUUGGACAGUUCCUCUAAUCAUUAGCUAAUCUUUAGUGUACUGCAAUAUCGUAAGCUCACAAAACAGACUUAAUAGCGUUCUUCUUCUCCACUUAUUUUUGAAAUUUUAAGGAAAUAUCGUGAAACUACCAGACGGUAGUGAGACCCAGGAAAUACUGGGGCUAUAAAAGCGGUAACAUAGCGCAAUGUCGGAAAGUUAUUUUUUUGUUUUUUUUUCUGUGUUCAAUGUCGGAAAGCAAACGAACGUCGAGAUGCGACAUACGUGAUUGCUUAUUGAGUAUUUAACUUGAACUUUAUGAAUUAAGAGUGGCAUAUAACGAUAAUACUAAGAACGAAAAAUAAGUCUACUGUUGUACUAAAACUCAUACAAAAUUUAUUAAAAAAAUCCGUUUAAAUGAUAUUGCGAGAAAGGGUCUAGUUAUGUGAAAUGCUGUGUAACACAACAUUUGAACGGCCCUCUAUUUUGAGAUGGAGUGAUUUGCUUUGGCAAUACAGGGGCCAAUGAUCAUGUACAUAAGAGUUUAUAACGUUAAUAACGGAGGGUUUGGAAAAACAUUUCUUAUGAAGUAUACUAAAAAUAUCAUUUUUUUUCAAUAAAUCUUUCAAUGCGCCUCUCCCUUAUUGUAACUCUCCCUCCUCUCAUGGAAGUUGAAACUUUAAAUGAGGACGAUUGUAGCAUCUAAAAAUAGUGAUACAACAUACAAACGUUAUUUUAUCAAAUUUCAACCAUUUAUUCGAUUGUAUUAGCCCUUUAGGUGGAUUAAUCAUCUUUGAAAAUUACUUAAGUUUUUAUUCAUCAUGGUUACAUUGUAUUUUAAGUAGGUUUACUAGAUAUGAUCAAUAAAACUAACUUAUAUUCUCAGAUAGGCGAUUUUGAAUAGUUUGACCCAUUCUCAACCUUUCUAAAGGAUGAGAUUGGGUCAAUUUUCAAUCAUUUGUAGUUUAUAAGGGUAUGCGGUAUACCGAAAUAUUUCGCCAAAUACACCUCUAAACGAAAUUCCGCGGAAUUCCACGGAAUUCAACUAGGCGAAAUUUAUGAUUUUGAAUUUCGUUUCGUUUCGUCAAAUUCUAAAAAUUUCGCCUUCAAAAAAUAUAAUAUGACGAAAUUAAACGGAAUUCCGCGGAAUGUCUAAUAAAUUUCGAAAAUAAUUUCAUAAUGUUAGUUAGGUUAGUUUGUAAACCGUCGAUCAAUAUAGCGUCAGUUUCGGAUGUAUUUUGUAAUUUUGAUUCCGUGAAUUCAACGUUUGUAGCAUUUAAAAAGGAUAUUCCUUACGCUACUUCAUUAUAUGAGAAAUAAAUAAAUAAAUAAAAUAAAAUAAAUGUCAAAAUCAUCUAUCGGAGUUCUUACUAAUCUGAAAUUACUGAAAAGUGUUAUAAAAUCAUUUCGAAUAUCGAGAAACAAACCAGUGCCAGACUGAAAGUCUCUAUAAUAAAGACAAAACAAAUCUCGAAUAUACCUCUUAUCCAGGAUCUACCAUAAAAAUAUUGUCCAGAAGCCCAAGUAACACACUUAUCACAGUCACAGUCACGGUGGCGCAGGUUUUUGUUGCGCAGAGUCACCGUGACUUACUUUUAACAAAUUAACACAUACUUGCUAGAAGUAAGUUACAGUGACUUCUGUGCAACAAAAACCUGUACCGCCGUGACUUUUCUGUGACAAGGCAAGUGUGUUACUUGGGAGGAUGCUUUCAAUGCGGAGCCAUAAAUAAUAUUUUGGUUAAAUUUCCUUAUGAAAACAAAUGUAAAAAAAAAUUAAAAAAUCAUUUUAGAUUCUCGAUAAGAUUUUUUAGCAGAGUUAUGGAAAAUAACAGGAUUAGAUGCUAUAGGAUGUUGGUUAUACUAGCAAAAGUUUUAAGAAAACGUGGAGAUAUAUCUAUAAAAGUAUUGGAAAUCCCAGGAGAAAUCGAUGAGGGCACAUUUGGUAGAAGGUUUGUUCCAUGGAAAAGUUUCUGGAUAAACCCAUUUAAAAUAGAUUAAAUUUCCACUGGAACUCUUAAAAAAAGAUUCACCAUUAGGACGAGGAAUGGACCUCAAAUGGAAUCACUCAAGUAAUUUCCGUUCAGUACAUUAUUUUCCCUUUUUAAAGGAAUUCUAAUUUUUUUUAGUUAAUUUCUGAAGACAUUGAUGUAGGAGUUUGUAGCGGUAUUCUUAAAGUUUUUCAAGUACACCUGCAGGGGUUCAUACUGAUAUUUUUUGACGAAUUUCUUUACAGACUUUCAGGUAUGAUUUGAAAAUGCCGAGCACGACAAAUGACAACUCCGCCAUGCGCCCAGCCAACUUUUUCGCUAAGGGAACCCAUUAAACAGUUUAAGUUGCUGCGUAGAGUCCAAUUUCGUGUUUAGGAUUCGAGAAAGUUCUUGAGCGAUUCCUGGCAGAGACUGUCUUUUGAAUUGUCAUUCCUUUAGAACUGCGUACUGCGAUCGAAGAAAAACGGUUGCCUGAGCGAUUCAAACAAGGAAUUUCUCAUGCAUCAAGAUAUGCCAAAAAAUCCUUCUGAACUGCAAACUGUCCUUAAACCAUAACUUUCUGCUAUUUGAAACAUUUCAUGAAAAAGUGAAUGAAAUAAUCAAAGAUUGCCUUGGUGAUCGCGACGUGUAAUCAGGAUAAUCUUUAAUCAUCAGUUUACACUGUUAAGUGCAUACCCCUAUUUAAUUCGGUAAAACGACGUUCGUUAGCUGGAUUUUAUCAGCAUAUUCGCCAACAAACUCUGACUAGUGAACCUUUUUUUUUUUAAUAUGCGUAAAUAUGAAAACUUGGUUCUUAUUUUUUCAUCUUUAGUAGCAAAAUAAGUCCUAGGCAAGUUUAUUUUGGGACCUCAAGUCAUUCACCUAAAGGUUAAACACACACUGGUUUUAUCGGGUAUUUUCUGAGAAAUUCGAGCAUCUAUCAGCUUCUUUGAAGAUUUUAGAUUACAGGUUUUCUCAGGAAGAUACGCUAUUCACAGAGCUUGAUGGUAAACAUUUAGUUUAUGUUUCUUAUCAUAUGCUUCAGAAUUAUGAUAAUCAAUCGGCAUUAGAGCGUCUUAUAGUGCUUUUAAUUCUGGCACUGCAGUCUUGGGGAAUUAAAACGAAAAUUUUAGAUUUUUCCCAACAUUCGACUUGUAUAAGAGUCUCCUUCAGGGGAUAUGACACGAAUGCCACAAUAAUGGUAAAGUGUCGUUAAUAAAUAGUUAUAAUAAUAAUGAUUCAGGGGAUAAUUCAGGCUAACCGUUUUUUUUCGAUUGAGGUGCCACAGAACUGUUGGUGUCUGAACUACUGAACAUCCGUUAUUUGAAUAUGAAAUGAAACGUAGCGGUUUUUCUUAAUUUCACUUAAUGAAGUAAUUGAUUUCUUUGCACUACACCUUUGGUAGAGAUACCGUUUAGUUUGAAGAUGGUGGUUCAUUUGUAGUUCGAGCAUUUUAUAACAUCAUCGCAAUGCUGCAACGUAUUUAUUAAGUCAUUGGAGCAAUCUUGUUAGGUUAUUAAUGUUAUUGUAGAAAAUUUCAAUAUCUGUGAUUGAAAAUUGUAAAAAAAUAGGAUCUGGGACAAUUUGGGCAGGAGGACUUAUUAAGGGCACUUUGCGCGCUAACACAGUCAACUUUGCACCAAUUGACUUGAUUGUUCGUAUGCAGUGAGAUGUGUACAAUAUCUAGUCACGUUCAAAAUUUCGAGUAAACUGGUCCCCUUGCACAAAUAGUCUUAAGGGAAACACAAUUCAUGCUACCGGUAGGAAAAAAUGCAAACACGCAGCAUCAAUUUGCACAAAAUUUAUAUAACUGUAAAAUUCCGCGGAAUUUUUACGAAAAUUUCGUUUAGUUUCGAAAAAUACAGAGUGAAUUCUGAUUUCGUAUCGAUCUCACGAAACAUUUUUGAAUUUCGUUCCGUUUUGUACCGCAUCGCAUCAAAAUUUUUUCAUACCGUUUCGUUUCGUAUCGCUUUGAAAAAAUCUUAUACCGCAUACCCUUAGUAGUUUGGUAAGCAAUUUAUAUAAUGUGAUACUUUCUUGCUAAACUAUCACUACCACAUAGAAGAGUAUACAUACCAAAUAAAAAGUUAUUCCAACUUCAACUGCAUUUGUUAUUUAACAAACAAUCUUUGAGUAUCCUUUUUUUGACCCAUUCUCACCCCCAACGACUGUACAAGUGAAGAAUGUAUCUCUACAGAAACUAUUGCUAGUAAUUUCAUCAAUAUUAGAAGCGAACGAUGAAGAAUAAAUUUUAUUUCAACAAUGAAAAAUCGCUGAUCGAUGCAAUUUGGAAACUAUUACUAAGACUGUACGCGCCAAACGCGUGCAGAAGAGAGAGUUACCACUCAUCAUCAUCAGCCAGCGAUGUGCCUCCAACGACGUGCUUUGGGUUGUCUUGCGCUCCGAAUGGGCGGAGCCCAUGCUGCGCUGCAGUCUGCUGUGCGCUGACCGGCUGCCAACCCGAAGGAGAAAUAUAUUUAAGUUCAUUCUUUCAUGUCAUUUCAUUCAGUUUUUAAUAUACCGCCGACGUACACGGUGUUCGAUAAGUUCGGAUACACAAUAAAAUUGAAUUUAUUUCCCAUCUGUAAUUCAGAUUUGCAAAGUGAAUGUAUUAAUUGAAAGCUAACAUAAUACUGAUCAAAUACAGUAAAUCAGCGUUUCUCAAACUAUGGGUCGCGACCCACAGGUGGGUCGCAGGCUGAUUUUAGUGGGUCGCGAAAGUUUGAGCAAUUGGGAAAUAAAUGAUUCGAUGUGUCUUAUUCAAAGUAUUUUGCUUCUUGAAUUCUGCAAGUGAUUUUUUAUUUUGUUGAAGGUUCAAGACAUAAGGGAUGAUAUGUAUUGAUGCUUCAACCGAAACUUUAAAAUUAUUAGUCAAUCUUUGCAAGGUUGCGACCAUUCAUUUGCAAAAAUUUACAUUCAUUUGCUAUUAUCUCAGUUCAGAAGCAUGCUAUCGAAAAACAAUGUAUGGAUGAAUUUAACCUUGUAAUUUUAUCUGAAAGUUUGCCGAAUAACAUUGGGGUCGCAAACGUACACCAAAGUCGUGAGCGAGCUGUGAAGGAAACUCUCCACGCGGUGAAUGUAAAUUACAUUCACGCUGUGGAAAGUUGCCUUCACAGCUCGCUCACGACUUUGGUAUGCGUGUGCGACCCCAAUGUUAUUCGGCAAACUUUCAGAUAAAACUACAAGGUUAAAUUCAUCCAUACAUUGUUUUUCGAUAGCAUGCUUCUGAACUGAGAUAAUAGCAAAUGAAUGUAAAUUUUUGCAAAUGAAUGGUUGCAACCUUGAAUCUUUGUUUUUGCUCUGAAAUGGUUUCAGGACGGGUUUCCUGCCCAAUAAUUCAAGGCUUUUUAUAAUUUUAAAAUUGCCUUCAUAUUUUAUGUCAGUAUCUCAAAAAUUCUUAUUUUUUAACUUUCUGAUUCUCACACAAAAACGGACAUUCAGAUUUAAUUUUGAUAGAUUGAAAGCUUUUAACCCUAGGUGUGCAUUGGGGUCAUUAUGACCCAGACAGGCAUGCUGAGUGUACCCUGCGUCAGCGGGGUGAACUUUAACUAAUGCACGAAGAAGGUAAAGCAUAAUUGUAACGCGUCAAACCUAUUCAUAUUUUAGCAGAUGCAUACAUUUUUUCUUAAGCAACAAUUUAAUUACAUAUUUACUUGCACAAAGUUUGAGAACCGUCAUAAAAAGGUGGGACAAUUUAGAAUUUAUUUUGGCUUUAUGAUGAUGUUUAUGCUUGACUUUAAAAUGUUGCUUAGGUUCUGGUUUUGCAAAGUAUUUUCAAAAUUUUCUGAAAUGAUUCUUUUAUGAAAAUGCGUAGGCUGUAUGAUGAUGGGUCGCCAAAGUGGGUCACGAGCUUGAGAAGUUUGAGAACCCCUAUAUUAAUAAAAUACCUCAACGAGUUAUUGGUUUGGUGUUGAGAACUGCUUGAGGUAUUAUUCAAUUAUGGGAAAAUCGCUUUUUGCAUGGCAAAAUCGCCGAUUAUUAUUCAGGUAUUGACAUACCUGAUGUCAUUAUUCGCGCGGUAUGCACAGAAUACACACCAGUUAUUACUUUAGGUAUUUUAUGUUUUUUAUGUUUGUACAACUCCAUGAUUUUUUAUUCGUGGGUUUAUAGUGGGUUUUAUGGUGUUAUUCUGGGCAAUACCAAAGUUACAUCGAAAGGAUAAUGUGUCUUUCGGCUACAUGAAAAAUGAUAAACCAUCACCCAAAAAUUCAUUUUUUUCGAUCUACUAAUUGCAAUUUAAAAUUACGUACAAAAGUCUGAAAAACAUAACGCUGGAGGAAAGAACAUUCCCGUUAUAAAUCACUGAAGGAAUCCCGGGAUUGUUUACUGAAGAAAUUCUGACAGGAAUAUUUAUCUGGUAGAAUUCUGAGGGAAUCUCUGCUGAAAGCUUGGUAUAAAUCCCUGAAAUAAUUACAGAAUAAACCCGGGAGGAAUUGCUGUAUAAAUCCCGAGAUAGGAUCCCGGCUCGUAGAAAGAAUCCCAUUAGGAUUCUCUGAAUAUGUUUCGACAGAACACUUUUUAAGUAUACUAAAAUGAAUCUGUGAAGUAAUUCCAGCAGAAAUGCAUGAAAGAAUGGUGAUUAAAAUUUCUGAAAGAAUCCUUCCAGGAUUUUCUAAAGCAAUUCUGGAAGAAAUUCCUGAAGUUAUUCCUUAAGGAAUCCCGUAAAGAAUACCUGAUGGAAUCCUUAUAUAGAUCAUAACAGGAAUGCCGGCCAGAAGCUGAGCAAAUAUUCCUUCAAGAAUCAUAGAAGAUGUCUCUAUGAUCUAGGAUCGCCUGAAAAAAAAAAAAAAACUCGAAAGAAAUCUAUAUGCUUUCGUAUUUUUUUUCGGGAGAAAUCACACCAGGAAUCCUAGAAGAAAUCUUUGAAUGAAUUCCAGCACAAACCCCUGAAGGAAUGCAGAAAAGAAUAACUAAAAGAUUCGUUUCAGGAUUUUCCAAAGCAACCCCUGCAAAACUCUCUGAAGAGAACUCCGAAGCAAUCCAUACAACAAUCUCGGAAGCAAUAUCUGAAGGAAUCCCGGAAAUAAACCUGGGAAGAUUCUCUAAAGGAAUGCCUGAAGAAAUCCUGGAAAGAAUUCCUGAAGGUAUCUCGAUAAAAGCUUUAGCUAAUCUAAUCUCAUCUCAAUUCUUCACCCUACUCUCUAGCCUCUACCGUACUGUCUUUUUUGCCCUCUAUUCCAACCCUCUAUCCUACGCUCUAUUAUAACCUUUAACCCUACUAUCUGUCCUACCCUCUACCCUAUCCUCUACCAUAACCACUGCCAAACUAGCAUACUGUGAGCCAUCUUGGAUAUGGUCCGCCAUCUUGGAAUUCAAAAUGGCGUCAAAUAUCCAUUUGACUUCUACAUAUCAAGCCCGAUCGAUAGAUACCCAUAUUGCAUGGUAGCUCAAACUACCAUUCCGUGGCCGCCAUCUUGGAUAUGGUCCGCCUUCUUGGAUUUCAAAAUGGCAUCGGCUAUUUAUUUGUUAUAAAAAAAUAUUGUAACAAAAUAACACAGCUUGUUAUAAUUUUGUAAUGUCCAUCUAGUCGGGUACCCGUAUUGCAUGAUAUUAUAGCUCAAACUGCUCUUCCGUGGUCGCCAUCUUAGAUAUGGUCCGCCAUCUUGGAUUCCAAAUUGGGUCGAAUACAUAGUUCACCAUCGGAUAGCUAUUGAUAUCAUGCUCAAUCUUGAUGAAUACAAAAUUAUUCUAUGCAGUCGGAUUCUCGAGAUACAGAGGUUCAAAUUUUUUAGGACUCACUAGCGUCACCUAACGGAUAAACCCAGGACCAACUCGUUCACUAUCGGAUAGCUAUUGAUGUACUGAUCAACCUUGACGAAGACAACUUUUUCUAUUUAGUCGGAUUUUUGAGAUACAGAAGUUUAAAUUUUUAAGGACUCACUAGGGCACACCUAAAGGAUAAACCCAGAACCGACUAGUUCACUAUCGGAAAGCUAUUGAUGUCCUGAUCAACCUUGCCGAAGACAAAAUUCUUCUAUGUAGUCGGAUUCUCGAGAUACAGAGGUUCAUAUUUUUUAGGACUCACUAGCGCCACCUAACGAAUAAACCUAGAACCAACUAGUUCACUAUUGGACAGCUAUUGAUGUCCUAAUCAACUUUGCUGAGGACUAAAUUUUUCUAUGUAGUUGGAUUAUCAAGGUACGAGCGCGACGAUAUUGGUAAUGGCUAUUGACAAAACACCUAUCAAAGCACAAUGUUUCAUGAUCACUAGCGCCACCUACUGAAGCGAAUACGUACUAAAUAACGGACUAUCGGAGAGUCCUUCGACUCCUCAACAACUUUGCUGAAGACACCAGUCUUUUAAAAUACUUCAUUUCUCCGCAAUUAUCGCAAAAGUUACUUAUCUAUAAAUAGAACACUGGGCGUUCGAGGCAUCUGAUCUAUAAAUAGAUCAUUGGGCGUAAAUGGGUUAAAAUUGGAAUGAAUACAGAAUUAAAAACAAAAGCGCUGUCCACAUCAAUGUGUCCAAAAGGUCUAGUUUUCCGAGAAUUCGUCAACAAUAAUACGGAUGGAAAAUUUUGGCGACCAAGACCUCCUCCUGCAACCAACGAUCCUAUGAGUACUCGGAUGGAAGCAGAAAACACAACGAUGAAAUAAACAACAAUCAACUUGCUGCAAACUUUCACCGCUACUGCCGUCUAUCACCGGGACACUUGCCUCAAGCUCUAAGGAAGCCUCUAAUCCGCUCAACACAGUCGUGCCAUUCCAGCCAGCGACCAGCAGUUGUCCCGGUCCUGUGUUUGAGACAGUAGAAGAGGUCUUCCGGAACCCGUUUUCAGGCAAGUACGCUUCCGUUGUGAACAGUUCGCUACCUGAAAUACCUCCCGUUUCCAGUCGCCUCGACGGUUCCAAUUGCCACGUCGACAGUUCAUCACGGUCCUCGCCGCGCCAUAGCCAACCACCGGGACGCACACUUGCCUCAAGCUUUAAGGAAGCCUCUAAUCCGCUCAACACAGUCGUGCCAUUCCAGCCAGCGACCAGCAGUCGUCCCGGUCCUGUGUUUGGGACUGGAGAGGAGGUCUUCCGAAAUCAAUCGUCAGGCAAGCACAAACUGCAUAUGAACCGCGCACUCCCCGUAACGUUUUCCGCUCCUAGUUCGUCGACCCUCGCUGUCCAUGGACUUCACUACCAGGAUUAUGAACGUGUUUCUUCCUCUGCACAUGAAAUGCCUGCUGUGCGUCAUAGAUUAACAGACGCUAACUCUAGUUGUGAACCAUUGCGCCGGCUACGAGUGUUUUGAUAGUACCAGGGGACUUCGCUCAAAAAUCGAUACGUUCUUCUUAGCAAUCGCGGAAGUAGAGUAUGACGUCAUAGUGUUGACGGAAACUUGGCUUGAUAAUGUUAUUUCAUCAAGCUCAGCUAUUCGGGAACGCAUACACAGUUUACAGAACUAAUCGCAGUAGGCUUAACAGUAGGAAAACAAGAGGUGGUGGUGUUCUGGUGGCCGUAUCGUCCAGUCUUCAUUCUUGUAUUGACCCCUACCCGGUUAAUAAUCGUUUGGAGCAGCUUUGGGUGAAAGUCUAUCUACGUGGUUUUGAUGUCAGUGGUGGUGUACCUUAUAUACCUCCUGAUCUCAAAAACGAUGUAUUCCAACUUCAGCAGCAAAUGGAUUCAAUCGAAUCUGUUAUGUCCGGAUUAAGCCAAAACGAUUUCGCCCUGCUCUGUGGUGACUACAAUCAUUCCGAGAUGUUUUGGUUAUUCUCUGAGGAUAGCGGUCUUAAAAUUGAUACCAGAAGCUCGAAUCUCACGAGCGCUGGUAGUAUGCUGUACGAUGGUUUUUGCUUCUAAGACUUGACGCAAAUUAAUUCGAUAAAAAAUGCAAACGGUGGCAUUCUGGUGAACGACACGGCGCAACCCGUGUGUCUCCUUUCCGAAGCUGUCAAUUCGCUCGUUGUAACCGAUACCGCGCACCCACCGAUAGAAAUUGAUGUUGCGAUGCCUCUACCGGUGCAGUACGAGCAAGUUUCUGACGGUGCGUCUUUCGAUUUCCGUUGUACUGAUUAUGAAAUGCUCACCAACGACCUCUUAUCUAUUGAUUGGCACUUUUUGGACUCGGAACGUGACCUGGAUGACAUGGUGGAAUUAUUCAGCAAUGAAGUUUGUCGGAUUAUUGAGCAGCGUGUUCCAAUUCAGCGUCCUCCGUUAAAGCCGCCCUGGACAAACCGAUAUCUUUGUAAGUUGACGCGGCGGAGAAGGUCAGCACUUCGAAAAUAUAGGCGUAACCGUUCUACACAGCUGAAACGUUGCUUCGUGGUUGCCAGUAACAAGUACACGGUGUGUCUGGUAGAACAAAAUUAAUUUAAAAAAAUCGGUAUCGCUAAAACACCCACCAAACGAAAGCUGAAGGUCCCCUCUUUCAUUUGAGACUAAAAGGAGAAAGUUCUAUCGGCGGGUCUAGAUCAAUUUUUUUUUUUCAAAUAUUACUAUCUUUGAGACUUGUGUUUUUUUUUUCUUUUUUCAACCUUGAGUGUAGCCAAAUAGGCUUGUAUGAGGUCGCCCAUUAGUUACGUGUCCUUUUAAAAGAGUAAACGGGUCAAAUCAAAAAUUAAAAAAAAUCCCUUUCAAAAUAUUGCUUAGACAUAAAGUGCAAAAAAAAUUAAGGCAGUUGAAUAGAAUUUCAGCAGUAUCUGGGCAUAUGUACAAAUAAACUUCGCCUUUUAUAUGAUGGCGCCAGCACCAAACCGAAUAGCGACGUUUUGACUAGCGACAUUUUUUGACUAGCGACACCUUUUUUCAGUACCGGGUGGGUUGCGCUGAGUGCGUUCAAUGAUGUACUAUCAUAUACGUCACUUCCGAUGUAUGUUGUAAAAAACUCAAAAUUAGCAAAAAUAUUUUUCUCAAAAAAAGUUUAUUGAUUUCCAAUCAAAUUCAUAAUACAUGUGGAAGUAGUUAUUGCGGCUACAAUGUUCUUAUUUUUUAUUGACAGUGUCUCAUGAUUUAACAGUUUUACGAUCGAAGUAGGCCGAGUAACGUCAACAAAAAUAGAACAUACAUCAAAGUAGCUCGGAUAACAGGGCACAACAUUUGGAAGGUAAACCAUUUCGGAAAACUGAAAGUUUUUUGAUGAUGCAAUUUAAAUCGUUCAAAAGCAUGAAUAAAACGAUCUAGAACUCUACACCAAUUUUAUCAAUGUGAAGGGCUGUCUUAUAUCCUUGUAUGCCGUGGCUCGGGUAGAAUUACCACAUGCCGGUAUUUGUUCAAUUUGUGCACCUUUAUGGUACCUAAGACUUAAACAUUUUUAGUUAAUUUAGACUAUUGCAGUUAGGUAUAGCUCCUUACUUUUAAAGAAACAGCUACGACAAGAACCCCCUAAAUGACGAGGAAAACCAAACCAAAGAGUACGUUUUGUGUUUUUCCGCCACAAUUAUCAUAGAAAACAGUUAAUAUUCACUGUUUUAGAUUUGUUUAGUAAAAUUGUCUAAUAACGGGUAAUUAGACAUAAACAAUAUUAGUAACAGUAUAUCUUUGUGAACAGGUAGCCUUACUCAACUGACAAAAAUAGAAUAAUUAAUGCUACCUAUCUAAUGGUUGUACAAUAUAUAUAUGUAGUAAGAACAAUGUGCUAAUCUGUCGAUUAUCAAUAGUUUGAUCUUCUGCUAUUCUUUUAUUUUAUCUGUAUUAACGAGAUUUUUAGCCCUUGGCUAGUUCAUCUCGGGACCCACGCUUUACUUCCCUUCCGAACGAAGAACUCACAUUUUGCGAGUUUGUCGGGAGUGGGAUUCGAUUCGGUCCUCGGCGUGAUAGUGUUCUAACCAUCACACCAGGUCCGCUCCACAUGUUCUGCUAGCAUCAUGUCAUUAUAGACGGGUUAGCAACUUUUCAUUCAAUUCUACAGCUUUAUUGACAUAUACACAUGUUUUACAUUAAAGUACAUAUGUCUGAGCACAUACAUAUUAAUCAGAACGGAUUGAAAAUGUGUUAACUUGUUCUUGUUUCUACUUGCAGGUUGUUGAUAUUAUGGCAACUUUUUUCUGAAAGAUAUCAGAGAUAGCAGUUAGUACUACCCCACAAAAAAGUACGGACUUGCUCAUUUAAAUUUAUCUCAUUCAAUGGUGGCGAGUAUACCCAUUAGAUUUACUCUCCGUCUCUAUGAGCUUACAUAUUAUUUGAAACCUUCUACAUGGAGUUGCGGCCCUUGUUUGUGAAAUAUGUAGUGCUGCAAGAACUACAACUUCUCAUAAAGGGCAAACGUGGCAGAUCUAGCGCUACUACCGAUGACGCAGAAAGAAAUUGCUUGUUGCAGUUGUGUUCUAGAUGCUACAGGAAGAUGGUCAAAGGCAAGCAGCUUGUUUGCACUAAAGCUGAAGUACAUUGAAACUUGUUAAACAUCAUUCAGACUUCUCAUAAAGUUGCUGCGGUUGCUGAAUAUUUGCGGGCAAAACCCAGAGAUCAGGCUGAUCAGAUGAAGAUCUCAAAUAUUCACGAACUACCAUCCAGAUGGAAACCGGCGUCAACGAGUUAUUAGAACAGUAAACCGAUUUUGUUCAUCGAUGAUUUGUUUUUGAUAACGAAAAGUGCCCAUAAAGCCACAGCUGCAAAGGCGUGAGUACCCAGCACAACCAUGCUGAGGAUGACGGGUUCGAUUCCCGGUCAGUCCAGGACUUUUUCGUGAAGGAAAUUUUCUCGACUUAAAUGAGCAUGCAGUAUUUUCGUGCAAGUCACACGCUAUACACAUGCAAAAUAGUAAUUGGCAAAAGAAGUUUUUAGUUAAAAACUGUGAAAGUGCUUGUAGGACAUAAAAUAAGAAAAUUUCAAACAAAUUGAACAAUUUCAUUUAUUCUUAUUACAUCUCCUACAGUGCUCAUAUAACAAGCUAAGAAGCAGGCUUUGUCCCUGUAAGGACGUUACGCCAAGAAGAAGAAGAAGAAGAAGAAGAAGAAGAAGAAGAAGACGAAAGAAAACAUGUAUCUUGAGUACCAGACGCGCAUUGAAGUUGAGAAGCUGUUUGAGGAGAAUAUAUGAAGAAGUCACACCCCGAAAUUUCAAGAGCACAAAUCUGAAGAACCAAAUGACGGUAUGUGCUGUAAACUUGGUCGAUUGGUGACCUGCUGGUGCCAGUUAAAUACGAGACCCUAAAGACGUAUACGCAUCUGUCAUAGGAUGCAAACACAUUAUUGGAAUCUUGAUUGGAAUUCAAAGAAACAGCAUAUAACUCGAUUUUAUACUCACUGUUCUAGUACUUUCACCACACUGUCCAUAAACACAAAACUGUCAUCUGCUGGAUUUCCCAAUCACAUGGGACUAUUGUGCUUUUAUGGGUAGAAUAAUAAACAUAAUAUAAAAAAUAUAUUGCCGGAAAGUCAUGCUUGCAAUGGAAAAACAGUGUUUUGUCAUAAAUGUGUUCUUCGAAAAAAAUGAAAAAAAUAUCAUAUCUUUUCAAAAAAAAAAAUUGUUCUAGACCCGCCGAUAGAACUUUCUCAUUUAAGUCUCAAAUGAAAGGGGGGACCCUUAGCUUUCGUUUGGUGGGUGUCUUAGCGAUACCGAUUUUUUUUAAAUUAAUGUUGUCCACCAGACACACCGUGAGUACACUAGCUACAAUCGUCUUUUUUUUUGUUCUUUCGUCUUUCAUACGCUCGAUAUGUUGACCGCGUUCAGAGGAAUCUCCGACUACAUCCGAAACGUUUUUGGUAGAGCGUUAAUGAUUAAUCAUAAAUUUAAUCAUGAUUGAUGAUUAAUGAUUAAGAUUAAUCAAAAUCAUUAAUCAUAAUCACAGAAAAAUCUCAUUUAAUCAUUAAGCAUUAAUCUUAAUCACACUGUUUUAGUAAUCUAAUCAUUAAUCAGUAUUCAUAAUCAUAAGAAAAAAAAUAUAAAUCAAUUCAUCACCAAAAAUGAUUCACCAUAUAAAAUGUAUGAUCCAAUUUAAAUUGGUUCAAAUGCUGUUCUAAAUAAUAUAAUUUAUGACUAUUUUUUUCAAACAUCUACCGGACAGAAUUACCUUUUACUUUCGAAACUGUUAAACAAUAAAUAUAUUUUAAUCAUUUCCAGUUUUUUGUGAUUGAUUAAUCAUGAUUAGUCAUGAUUUUUUAAUCAAUGAGCCAUUUUUAAUCAUUAAUCAUAAUCAACCAUCACAGAUAAAUCCAAUUGUAAUCAAUAAUCAUAAUCUUCGAUCAUCCUUAAAAUCAAAUUAUUCAUUAAUCAUAAUCAAUAAUCACCAAAAUUGGAAUUUUAAUCAUCAAUGAUUAAUCAUGAUUAAAAUUUUUGUAAAUCAUGAAGGCUCUGGUUUUUGGUCCUUUGAUGUUAAUGACGGACACGUUAUCGAGGCUAUCCGAAAACUGAAAUACUCUACAUCACCCGAACCUGAUGGUAUCCCGUCAUCUUUAUUGAAAAGGUGUUCCGCUGCAUUUUUAACACCGCUGAUGAAGCUGUUUAACCGCUCACUACAGCAAGGAACCUUUCCGACCAGUUGGAUGACUUCCUUCCUUUCACCUGUUUUCAAGCAGCGCGACAAGCGGAAUAUAGCCAACUAUAGAGGGAUAACAUCUUUAACUGCAAGAAAGUAUUUGAGAUUAUCGUGAAAAACUUGCAUUUCGAAUCUUGCAAGAACUACAUUUCUACGACUCAACAUGGUUUUUUCCCGAAACGGUCAGUGACUACUAAUCUCGUCGAAUUCGUUCAAAGGAUGCAGGAAAACAAGUGGACGUGAUAUAUACGGAUUUAAAAUCAGCGUUUGAUCGUGUGAACCAUAGCAUGCUGCUUAAUAAGCUCAUAAUGUCAGAUGGUCAUGUUCGAUAGUUUAGCUCGUAUUUGUCAGGUCGGUCAAUGAAAGUGCGUAUCAGCUUGAAUCAUCUGGAGUCUAUUACCAUUCCCUCUGGAGUACCACAGGGAAGCAAUCUCGGACCGCUUUUAUUUUCGCUGUUCAUCAACGACGUAGCGUACGUUUUGCCCCAUGGCGAACGCAUUUUCUAUGCGGACGACGUGAAGAUUUUCAUCGUGAUCACCUGCAUUGAAGACUGUGUGGCAUUAUGAACCGUAACCGUUUUCCUUACAGGAGCUGUGCAUUAGUAUGGGACAUGCUUAUAUGGAAAACAUAAAUUUUCGCUCCAGUCGACUUUUUUGCUCCCAUUUAGGUCCCAUAUGAACCGUACAAAAUUUCAGCGGUGAAACUAUGAUUUAGCGCAAGCGGUUCAAAGUUUGCAUAGGAUUUACUAUGGAAGAAGUUACACUUUCAUAGAAAAAAUUCCAUAGGUCGCCCUUUGUCUCCUUAAUGUCUCCUUGAUUUGAAAAUCAACCAACGCUCCUUGUAGAAAAAUCAUUUAUGAAACUUUCCUUCGAAGGCCGCAAAACGAUUGGAUGCUUGUGGAAAAAGCUAUUGAUUUAUUACCAAUUAGUGAUCAAACGAACGGCUUUUUAUUUUGUUUUAUUAGCAGCACUGUAGCUACUGCCUUGGCUGCUGCUGUUUCUGGGGGUGGUGAUGCCUCCCGCCACCCCAUACAAGAACGGCAGCAGCAGUGCUGCUGAUAAAAUAAAACUAAAAGCCAUUCAUUGGAUCACUAAUCGAUAAUAAAUCAAUAACUUUUUCCACAAGCAUCCGAUCGUUUUGCGGUCUUCGAAGGAAAGUUUCAUAAAUGAUUUUUCUUCAAGAAGCGUUGAUCGAUUUGAAUUAAGGAGACAAGGGGCAAUCUCUGGGAUUUUUUUAUCUGAAAAUGUAACUUUACCCAUAGUAAAUCCUAUGGAAACUUUGAACCGCUUGCGCUAAAUUAUAGUUUUACUGAUUGCGCUGAAAUUUUGAACAGUUCAUAUGGGACCUAAAUGGAAUAAAAAAUGUCGACUGAAGCGAGAAUUUGAUAUAUGUCCCAAACUACUGUGCAUGCACAGCGAAGAAUAAUACAAUACUGAACACUAAACACCCGCGCAUCUACUGUUUUGAUUUUUGCGCGAGACACUAGCGAACGCAAUCGAUUAUGCUGUGUUACUCAAUCCUUACAGGAGCGAUGCACAGCAAAAAAUAACACAAUACUCCGGUAAAGGCCAUUUAAUAGCAGGCCGAAAAUGUGCGGUGUUGAGCCCAUGGGCUGAAGAUGGGAUGAUCUGGAAGUUGAUAGUUCUGGGCCGGGGAUAAGAGGUCAAUAUGAGCUAAGAAGUGCCAAUAGCUCAGUGAGAAUAUCACCCGUGAAACCGUGAGUCACGGGAAGUGGAAAUCCUGAGCCCUCUUUCCGUCGGCGAGAAAAGUUUGUGUGAGUGGUCCGGUAGCAAGCCGAUAGCUACCCAAACGCGUGAGCGGGAGCAGCAGACCGGUCUGGAGAGCGACGGAAGGGACCCCUUCCUAACCUAAAUUGCAGUCUCAGAUGGGGAAGCAAGGCUAGCCCCUGAGAGUAAAAACACCGGGUGAGCCACAUGCUUUUUCCCAAGUAACCUCUUACUUACAUGCAAGUCCACUAAUUGCAACGUUUGACACAUUUUAGAAAUUAACCCGUAAACACCCAGGACGAUCUUCUUUUGACAGAAAUGCAAUAUCUUCUUUGCUCCAAACCUUUUUACCCUGGAAUUUUUUAUAGUCAAGAGGAAAAGUUGUGCUAAGAAAUGCAUGGUACCUCCGCUUUUUUGCUGGUAGCCGAAAAUACUUGGCUUUUUUGUAAUAUUUAUAAAUUCUACCGUCAAGGCGCCAUUCACCGUGGGGGCUCCAUUCACCGUGUGCCUUAUUACGAAAAAAUAAUGAAGCACUGCAUAUGCAUAUUAAAAUAUAACAUAUUGUAGUGGAUCCUUACAAAUGCGUAAUAAAUGAGGACAUCACACUUGGACGAAUACAACACAGAACAUAUAUUUUGCCCUGUUACCCUAUUGGAUAACAAUUUCCAAUCACAGGAUGACAUGGUUUCAUAAAUGUUGUUGGUCCAUCAGUCAAUCCUGUAAUCGUAUUUUGUCUGGCAGGUUGCCUUUCGUUCGCAGCAUUAGUUGCUUUCAUAGCUUGAGUUUUGUCUAGGAUUUCUAAUCCUAAGGGGGCAUCCCGAUUCGGGUUUCAUCACUAGAGUUCUUUAACUUGAAGUCUGUGCCAGGGAAAGGUUUCCAUCUCUAGUACUUAAUCACGGCCCGAAAUGGCCUGAAUGUUGGCAAUCGAAAUAGGAUUGCGGGCCUCUAUUCUGCCAGAGCCCUAUAAAUGCGCAUUAAUUCUAGGGAAAUAUUUACAAGUUAAAAUAGCACAUUGAACACAAAAUAAAACUUGUAACACAUUUUUUUUUAUCGGAUUGCGGGCCUGCAUUCUGCCAGCACCCUAUAAAUGUAGAUUAAUACUAGAGGAAUGUUUACAAGUUAAAAUACAACAUUUAACACAAAAAUAAAACUUGUAAUACAACCACACCCAACGGAAAAGAAAUUUUUGUGGAUGAAACCACAAAAAUGUCGUAUGUACUAUGCAUUAUUACGAAAAAAUAAUGAAGCACUACAAAUGCAUAUUAAAAUAUAGCAUAUUGUUGUGGAACCUUACAAAUGCGAAAUAAAAUAGGACAUCACACUUGGACGUAUACAACACAGAACAUAUAUUUUGCCCUGUUACGAUAAUGGAUAACAAUUUCCAAUGACAUGAUGACGAGGUUUCAUUAAUGUUGGUGGUCCAUCAGUCAAUCCUGUAACCGUGUUUUUCCUGGCUAAUUGCCUCUAGUUCGCAGCGACAGUUGCUUUCAUAGCUUGUGUUUUGUCUAGGAAUUUCUAACCCUAAGGGGGCAUCCCGAUUCGGGUUUUAAUACGAGACGUUAACAUUUUGAUGUCCCUGUUAGGGAACGAUUCACUUAUUUGAUAUUUGAUUUUAGCCCGAAAAGGCCUGUAAGUAGGCCAUCAAAAAUUAGAUUGCUUAGAUCACAUGGUGCUCCUUUACUCCAGAGCACUAUAAAUGUACAUUAAACUUAGGAACAUGUUUACAAGUUAAAAUAGCACAUUUAACACAAAAUAAAACUUGUAAUAAUAUUUUCUAGAUAGAUAAUGAGUUUCUGAGUUAAAUGGGCCAUUUUUUUUAAAUCGGUGAAAAAUUGACGGAAAUAUGAUCAUUUCAAUUUAGUGGGUACCCGGGUACCCUGCCGGCAUUUCACGUAAUAAAAAAAAAUCAGCGUCCCCUCUCCCCGACCCUUUUUACUUGGAAAUUCGGUUAACCCCGUUAAUUGGUAUAUAUUCACGAGUUCUAAGAUCUGGCAGAGUUUCAACUUCCUACUCUCAAUAAUCAUAAAAAUACCGAGAUUUGAAAUCGAAAAAGGUACCCGGAUACCCUGCUGGCCACAUAAGGGUUAAGGCGCAACAGACACAAUCAUGAAAGAAUUAUGCCGAUAGAGUGAAGACAAACAAUAGUAGAGCCUGUAGACCUUUAAGGUCUUAAUUCCAGAAUAGUUUGGAUGACCUAGAUCAGGGGUUCUCAAACUUUUUCAGCUUGCGACCCACUUUUAAUAAAAUAUACGUCAUUUUAGAAAAUUUGGGUUGACUUUUUUGAUAAACCUACGUUACAUAACCUUAAAUCUUUAAAAUUUUAAGUUUUUUUAAAUCUACUGUGUACUUUUUUUGGAUACGUCAAAAUAAAGUAAACGUGAUCAGUUUCAGUAUGUUCCUUGUUUUAAGAAUUCAAAAUGUUUGCAAGUUUCUGUUACAAACUCAACUAGUCUGGUUCAUUUUAACAUAAACAUCACUUUUUUUUUUGGAAUUUCAAUAAAGAACACAUAAAAAUUACACAGAGUCGUUGAAAAUAUAAUGCCAGUGAAACGCAUUGGGGAACUUUAAACGUGGCCUUCAAAUGAAAAGCAUUUUGUAUCGUGAUUAAUAGGGCAAAAAAAAUAAAUCCUUCAAACAAAUCGAGUUGUAAGUACUUUUCUAUAUAUACGGUGUUAAUUUAAACCACUUUUUUCAAGCUGUUCAGCUGUUUUGAUUUCUGUAAAACAUCAGAUUAUCAAAAUUCAUCCAAUCAGAAUUUUACAGAAGUUAAACUUUAUCGAAAAAAAAAACAAAAAAAAAAACAGUGAACAACAAACGUUCGUUGGUUUCUUGUCGAAAUUUGUUAAACUUUUGGUAUUUCAAAAAUUUUCUGGAAUUUUUACUGCUGAACUUGACGUGUAAAUUUAACGGAAAAUGCUAACUGUAAACAACAUCUUUAACCCAUUUUUAGAGAACGCAUAAAAGUUUGAAUAUUAUUAGGGAAACCUUAUUUCUAGAAAUAACUCAGGCGACAAGACAGUAUAUGCAAAUUUGAAAAUGGCCAAAAAAGGUUUUGGGAUAAGUUAAUUUAUACAUUUUUAUUAUGAUAUCGACAAAGGUUUCGCGACCCAACAAAAAUCAGCCCGCGACCCACCAGUGGGUCGCGACCCAUAGUUUGAGAAACGCUGACCUAGAUCACCAUGUGAUGUUGCUGAGUUAUCAGAGUUGCACUCUGAGGCUUUAACAGUAAUGUUGAUUAUGCUCCGCGAGUAUUUGCUAAAGUAAAAAUAUCACAACAUUUCAAAAUACAAUUAUGCCGAUGGAGUCAAGAGAAACAAGAGUAGAGCCUGUAGGCCUUGAAGGACCUAAUUCCAGAAUAGUUUGGAUAGCCUGGAAUACCCCAUGAUUGUACCAAAAGCAUAAUAGCUGUAUACUGAGGCUCCAUCAGCAGUAAAGACUACAAUCCACGAAUAUUUUUUUAUAAUUAAAGAAUGAUACAGUAUGUAGAUAUCGUAACCCAAACUUCAAAGUGUAUUGGAGGCCAUUUGUAUUUCUCGGAAUGUCCAACUGCCACAUCUUUGAGUAGCUCGUAGCAUUGCGAGGUCUAAUGGACUUCAACGUGAAUAAAUUUCUUGAACAGAGUGAGCACAAACGAUGGUAGAUGUUGUAGAUCUUAAGAAAAUGAAUUUCAGAGUAGUUUGGAUGACCCAGAUCACCCAAUUUAUGUACCAUAAUUUUUUUAGGGGUGCUGUGAGGCUUUUGAGUACCGUAGACUACGUUUUGUGAUCAUUCAUCGUUUUUAAAAUAUAGUAUCAACAUACCACCCUCAAGAGGUUUAUGGGGUAUAUUUUUUUCUCAAUCGUCGGCCAGUUUUCGACAAAGUUUUUCGGCAUUUGUUUGGCUCUGUAUAGCCACCGAUUACAUAGUUUGUGAAAAAACGAACUCCUUACUAGAAAAACGCUAACCUGGAGUUCGAUAUGACUAGGUCGUUUGCGCCCCUGAUUAACAGCAAACUUAUGAUCUAUUCAAUCGAAGUUUAGUACGUAAAAUCCCAAACAAAUUUAAUUAAUAAUGCACAAAUUAAAUUUGAACCUAAAUGGAACCAAAACCUUCACAAUGAUCCGUUUCUGAAAAUAAUGCAACUUUUAAUGUGCCGAUACGGAAAAGUUGGCGAUUAUGAAACCAGAAUGAGUUGUGUGAUAUAAGUAAUAUGAAUUGCAUUAACAUAAUUAUUAGUGAUGAGGAUGCAUGGACGUGAUAAGGUGAGAAUGAAAAAGCCACAGUAUACAAAAAAUUUUAAUUAUUGUUCUAUUAAAUAGGUAGUCGAGAUUCUACAGAACACAGCAGAUUAAGUUUUGAAAGAUACUGCUUGCCAUUACAUUGUGAAAACAUCAACUUUUCAUUGAGCAAAAGAGCUCCCAAACGGCCUACUUUUUUCAUUAAAUUACCUUUUGAGUAAAUAACAUUUACACCGAACUGACAGUAAAGGAAUAAACAUAAAUUACGUAAUUGGGUACCGAGGAUCCCAAGUAACACACAAUAGUAGUUUACGCAACAAGGUGAAGAAUGAAGAUUUUUACAGCACGAGUCGUACAGAGUUACACCGCGCAGUAUGUAGGUCUACGCUGAGCGUGGAUUCGUUUCCAUCCUGGUGGGACUCUUUAUUGCACAUCGGCGUUUUUUGGAACUGUUAAUAGCCGCUGUUAUGAUACUUGUAGUCUUGUACAAAAUCAUCUGCCUUUGAAUGCAUUCUGCUUUGGAACGCUGAUGCAUCCGAAGUGUUUAAUUGCCAUUAAAAGCGUCUUUGUGCUGACGGCUGCAUCAACACAAAGUUUUCAUUCGCAGGAGCACUCGCGGAUUUUUCCGAAGGUGUUCACCGGGCAAAACGUCGAUAGUCUUGCAAAUUACAUUCGAUUAACCGAGGAAACUUCGAUUAAUCGAGGAACCGACGGUUUUCACCAUGAACAAAGUAAACAUUGCGAUUGAUAAAAGCAAUAUUUUGACAUUUGGCAGAUCUGAUCCGAUUAAAAAUGUUAGUUAUAAUAAAGUUAUUUAAGUGUUGAAAUACUUGUUGCAAAACAUAAUAAAAAUAUGCAAUGUGGUUAUGUUGAAGAAAUGUUAUGGAAACAUAUUAUAAACGUUCAUUAAAAACACAUCUACAUUUUAAUAUUGAAUAGCUGUCAUAAUGCAAUUUGAACGUUUUUUCAACUUAAUUCCACAUCAACGCCUGUUGAAAUAAUUAGACCACUGUGUGAACCCCAUUUCAGAAUUUGAUAUCUGAAUAGUUUAUGAAAAGCCAUUGCAUCUUGAGUUGCAUGCAUAACAUACAAAUUAUUUUUCCGGCUAAAAAUAAAUAUAUUUAUAAACACACUUUGUUUUGAUUUUUGGUUUUCUACUCUGUCAGCUUCUACGCUUUGUUUUGAUUCCUUUCAUUGGUUUGUAUGAAAAUAGGUUAUAUCACAUAGAAUCAACGUAGUCUGAACAUAUGCAUAUGAUAUGUAGUAUAAAUAUAUUCUGUAAGCACAGCAAUUUCACUUGAAGGCAGCAUAUAUAGAAUCAAUAAGAAAUAUUGGUUUAUAACCGAUUUUUUCAAGUUUUUAUUACUGACGAAUAACUUAAUUAUAAGCAACAAUUAUAUUGAAUGUACUGCAGAUGUAAUAUAAGUGUAUUAGAAUACAUCUUAUAUAACUUGUAUGAUGUUUUAUAAGCCGCCAUUUUUUGCGCUGUUUUGAUUAUAAAGGUGUUCGGUAUUAAGUAAAUAUAACAAGAAAAAUACUUCUGAAUAAGUAUUAAAAGUGAAUUUUAAACUAUUAUAUAACAAGUUGUGUUACUUGGGAUUGUUCACAGUCUGCGAACUUGACUGCGGACUUUUCGGCACUUUUACCAACAUACAUUUUUAAUUCAUUUUCGCGUGUGUAAUCAAUAGCACGAAAAACUGCUUUGAGGGUGAUUGACCAUGAUACUAAGUCGUACCUCAUUCUGCAAAAGCAUGUAACCUAGAAAAACCUCAUUUUUCGUAAUAACAAAAAAUAGUAUGCAAUUCGUUGAAAAACUCGAUUUUUUCAGCACUAACGUAUUCAUCAAACGCGGCAAGCCUCGUGACAAUUGUACGAGUUGUGCUGAAAAAUUAUCAUUUUGCAACUUGUUGCAUAAACAACUAUUCUAUUCAUAUUUAUAUUUAAGAAUAUAGUGUACAGAUUACACUUCCGCGUAAGCUUAAAAAAACAAUUAUAAUUAUUUUGAUUGUUACAAUUAUUCGCUUUGAAUCUGAUUACUAAUAUAUUGUAUGCAAGAAACGUUUAUGUUCGAUAGUGGUGCGAUAUUGUUGAGAUUUGAAUUCAAAAUAAGUUUCUCUGCAAAAAUUUAGUUUUCUUUUUGCCUGAGAUAAAUUUUGAGAUUUUAACUCACGGUCCUUGUACGCUAUACACAUGCUUGAGCUUGAAUCAGUGUGUGGAUUUUUAUCGCGAACCACUGAAUGGUCCAUGCUCAGCAAGUGAUACCAUUCACGAAUGUAACAUUUCGUGAACCAACAUGCUCGGGAAUGCUCCUCGAAAUGCUGUUCAUUCUCUUGUCCGGUUCGAUACGAGAGCGCAAUCAAGAGAGAAGAUGCUCAAUGACGCUAUUGAAAGCGAUGCAUUCGGUAAGAAUAUAUUAUUGCCAUAAUUCUUUUUUUAUUGUGAUUACACAACCUGCAACGUCAUGAAUACAGUUAAAUUAAAAAGUAGUUCACGUUUUUAAAGCGAAAACGUAUUAAAUACUGAUAAAAAUAACGAUUAUUCACAGUUGCCCCAAGCCAACGAUGAGAGAUCAUCGGUAAGUGUUACACUUAGCGAUGCCCGCUCAUCGCCGCAGCUUGUCUAUAUCGGAGUAUCUUCUUUGUGUUCCUUCGUGAACCAUGCGACUCGACGAGAGAACAUACACCGCUUGGUAAUUGAAACAGAACUAACAGAAGGGAAGAAAAACUGCCGAAUGGUUCACUAAUCACUUUUUUCGUCCAAACACUGUCUUGAAUUAAAAAUUGAGCUGAAUAAUACACUAAAUUUUGUUUUUAAUUGUUUUUUUUUUCUCGUAAAAAGGUGUAAAAAAAGUUUUUGCAACAUUUUUUUAUCAAAUCGUCUUUAAAUUUUGACAAGGUAAACGGUGUCAACAUUUCAAUUAUUAUCUCUAUUUAAUUAAUGUAAACACUCAAAAGGGUCCACUAUAGGCACAUUCAGGAGGGUCCUCUAUAGGCUCCGUCGGCAGCGUGACAGCUAACAUGGAAAUCAAAUGGGGGGUCCACUAUAGGCGCCAAGAUAUUUGUAAAUAACCCCACCGGGAUCCAUUAUAGGCAACACCGAUGGGUAUUUUCAAAUGUGUAUUUCACUGGUUUUGAGAAGCCGAGAUAUUAACAAAGUCACCUGGAGAUCACCCGACCAUCAAACAAAAAAUCAAAUCGACCACGUUCUAAUCGACGGUAAAUUCUUCUCGGAUAUAACCAAUGUCCACACAUACCGCAGUGCGAAAAUAGAUUCGGAUCACUACUUAAUGUAUGCAUGAGCUCAAAACUUUCGACAGUUAUCACCACGCGUCGAAAUCGAACGCCGCGGCUCAACAUCGAGCAGCUGCGUAACGUAGAAGUGGCUCAAGACUACGCGCAGCAGUUAGCAGUACCCCUACCAACGGAAGAGCAGCUUAGCGCAGCUACACUUGAAGAUGGCUGGAGGGACAUCCGAUCCACCAUAGGUAGUACCUCGGCUACAGCACUAGGCUUCGCGACUCCGAAUCACAGAAAUGACUGGUACGACGGCGAAUGUGGACAGUUGAAAAACGAGAAGAAUGCAGCAUGGACGAGAAUCAGGGUACGAAAAACGGAUCACGCCGAAAAACAAACGCUUUGUCCUAAACGGUACAUGUCAGUAACAAAGGCACUCCGCAACAAACGCAUGUCAAGCGAUGAGAGCAAUAAAACAAAUAUCGCUUGCCGUGCGUGUGCCAAUAUUUCGGCUUUUUUGCUGAAAUUUUCGACCCACAUCAUCGAAUUCAUGAGCAUUUGGACGAAUUAAGACUCUUGCCAUCAGUUCGCAUCGUACUCUUGUGCUGUGUGGACGUAAGCUCUCUCUGCUGCUGGAAGUUUUACUACCUAAAGCAAUUCAACAGUACUUCUCAGUACUACCCACAAUAGCACUUUUCAGCGCUAAAUUUAUACCUACUGAUUCCUUUUCGAUCCUUGCCUGGACCCGUGCCUUCGAUUAUUCGUUGGACCCGUUUACGGAAGUCAAAUUCCGUGAAACGGUGGUAAUCCUACUUGGACACCGAUUAGGGAAAAAAACUCCUGGAAGGUCGCUUCAAAUUAAAUCAUGGUUGCAUCAUCGAACAAAAGAAAGGGUGAAUUCUUGAAUUCACCGCAUCCUUCCAAAAAAGUCGGUUUCAAAACUGUCGCUAAACGCGGCAAAGUUAGAAGGAAAGGAGAACUUUCAGCUUCUCCGCUUCCUUCUACUAAAACAAUUAUUUCGGAUGAAAAUUUCGUUGAAAUGAGUAAUCCUUAUGAAACGCUGAACAAUUUUUCGGAACAGCAAAUUGAGGAUGCCUCUAGUCCAGGUACUUCAAUUUCUGCUACAAAACAACGGGUGCCGCCAAUCGUGGUCAGCGUCUGUGAAUUUGCUGGUUUUAGGCAGGAGAUCUUGAACUCCAUAAGGGGAAUCAAGGUUUCCUUCCAAAUUGCCAGGAAAGGAGACUGCCGCGUAUUGCCGGAAACCCUGAAUGAUCGGGAUCUUCUUCUCAAGUACCUUACUGAGAAGAAGCAUAAAUUUUUCACAUACGACGACAGGUCUGCACGCUUGUUCAAAGUCGUAUUAAAAGGUCUCUCUAAUGAUGACAAAUCACCUGAUGAGAUCAAAACUGAACUCAACUUAUUACUUGGAUUCACUCCAGUCCAAGUAAUAAAAAUGAAAAAGAGAACCCGCUCUGAGAAUCCUCGGCAGGGUAUCUCUCAAGAAUUUUAUUUAGUUCACUUCAACAAAAGUGAUCUAAAUAACUUGAAUUAUUUGGAAAAGGCGAAGAAAAUGUUUCUUGUCCAAGUGACAUGGGAACAUUUUCGUAAGCCUGGGGGAAAUUUCCAGAACCCAACUCAGUGCCGUCAGUGCCAAGGUUAGGGGCACGGAACGAAACAUUGCCACAUGGAUGCUAAAUGCAUGAUUUGUGGAGGUUCUUCUCACGCCAAGGACAACUGUCCGGUUAGGGACGAUACCAGGAAGUAUAAAUGUACGAAUUGCGGUGGCAACCAUAAGUCAAACUUUUGGGAUUGCCCUAUCCGCAAAAAAGUUGUCGAAUCACGUGCCCGGCAGAUGAAUGGGAACGCUAGUCGUACCCGAAACUCUGCAGGUAGAAUUUCUAACAACACAAAUUCUUCCAUCAACGAUCGGUUGAAUAAUUUUCAUACCGCUCGUACCUAUUCGCCGGAGGUAGUUAACCACCACACAAACCUUCGAGCGAAUAAUCUACCCUCCAGCAGUGGAGUGAGUAAUAUUUCUAAUUUUGUUCAAACGAAUCGAGCUACCUAUGCCCAUGUGGCUGCGGGUAAGCUAAAUUCAAAUAAUUCCUAUCACCAAACAUCAAAUUCGGAUAAUGCACGUGAUUCAGGCAUGUCUGCUUCCGAUUUUGACUUUUUAUCUGAACAAUUGCAACAAAUGAUUGAUGCAAUGUUCAAAACUCAAACUAUGGCUGAAGCAGUCCAAGUUGGAGUUAAAUUUACAAAUAAAAUAGUAAUUGGAUUACGUUUUGGUAAUGAAUCCAAAUAAAUUUUUGAAUAUUUUAAAUUGGAAUGCUCGUUCUCUAAAUGGCAAAGAGUUAAUAAUGUGCAUAUUGCAGUUAUUACUGAAACUUAUCUAAAACCUGGGUCUUCUAUUACACGAAACCCAAACUAUUUUAUUUAUAGAAAUGAUCGCCUAGAUGGAGCAUGUGGUGGAGUUGCUAUCAUCGUUGACAGGCGCAUCAAGCACCAAUUUUUUUCAUCAUUCGAAACCAAAGUUUCUGAAACUUUGGGUGUUUCUGUUGAAACAAACUUUGGUAAUCAUACUUUUAUUGCGGCCUACUUGCCUUUUCAAUGCACUGGCCAGCAAAUAGAUUUUCUUAAAUCUGAUUUGCGAAAAUUAACUCGCAACAGGGCCAAAUUUUUCAUAAUUGGUGAUUUUAAUGCGAAACACCGUUCGUAGAAUAAUCUUCAGUUCAAUUGAAACGGCAGGAUUUUAUUUGAUCAGUGCUCUUCAGGAUAUUUUUCUAUUCUAUAUCCCGAUAGCCCCACUUGUUUUUCUUCUGCUAGAAAUCCCUCAACAAUUGAUUUGGUCUUAACUGACUCAAGUCAGCAUUGUAGUCAAUUGGUUACUCAUGCUGACUUUGAUUCUGACCAUCUUCCUGUAACAUUUCAAAUCUCCCAUGAAGCGAUUUUUAAUCCCAUCAGCUCUACUUUCAAUUAUCACAGAGCUGACUGGGAUACAUAUAAAACAUACAUCGAUAGCCAUUUAGAUGUUAAUGUUUCAUUGGAAACACAUUUUGAUAUUGACAAUGCCCUCGAAACUUUGACUAGUACUAUAGUCGAAGCUAGAAGCGCAUCAAUACCAAAGUGUGAAGUCAAAUUCGACUCAGUUAUUAUUGACGACGAUCUGAAACUUCUGAUCCGUCUUAAAAACGUGAGAAGAAGACAAUUCCAACGAACUCGAGAUCCUGCUUUGAAAGUAAUCUGGCAGGAUCUUCAGAAGGAAAUUAAAAAACGUUUCACCGAAUUGAGAAACAAAAAUUUUGCAAAUAAAGUUUCUCAAUUAAACCCCGGCUCUAAGCCGUUUUGGAAAUUGACAAAAAUUUUGAAAAAAACCUCAGAAGCCUAUUCCUGCACUGAAAGAGGAUAACAAAAUAUUAUUAACUAAUUCUGAAAAAGCACAAAAACUUGCCAAACAGUUUGAAAGUGCGCAUAAUUUCAGUAUAGGUCUCACUAGUCCAAUAGAACAUCAGGUUGCCCGCGAAUUCGAAAACAUUCUCAAUCAUGAGAACAUUUCAUUGGGCACUGAUUUGGACGAAGUGAGAUCUAAUAUAAAGAAGUUUAAGAAUAUGAAAGCUCCGGGUGUUGACGGAAUUUUCUAUAUUCUCAUCAAAAAAACUUCCAGAAAGUUGCUUAUCAUUUUUGGUUAAUAUGUUAAACAAAUAUUUUCAGUUAGCAUAUUUUCCGGAAAAAUUGAAAAAUGCUAAAGUUGUUCCAAUUUUGAAGCCUGACAAAAAUCCUGUCGAAGCUUCUAGAUAUCGUCCAAUUAGCUUACUGUCAUCUAUCAGUAAACUUUUUGAAAAGCUUAUUUUAAAUAGAAUGAUGAUUCAUAUUGAUGACAAUUCUAUUUUUGCCAAUGAGUAGUUCAGAUUCCGCCAUGGUCAUUCGACUACUCAUCAACUUUUACGGGCAACGAAUUUCAUUCGUUCCAAUAAAUCUGAAGGUUACUCCACUGGUGUAGCACUUCUUGACAUAGAAAAAGCAUUCGAUAGUGUUUGGCACAAAGGCUUGAUCGUAAAAUUGAAACAUUUUAAUUUUUCACUAUAUAUUAUUAAAAUUAUUCAAAAUUAUUUAUCGGAUCGAACACUUCAGGUAAACUAUCAAAAUUCCAAGUCAGAUAGAUUACCUGUCAGAGCUGGUGUUCAACAAGGCAUCAAAUUUCUAAUAUUGAAACAUUGGAACAGAUGUCAACUAAAAUCAUUGCCAACUUUCGUCAAAAAUGGUUGCAGUCUUCUAUUGCUACGAUUAGUUCUUUGUAUAAUUAGUUUAAGUUAGGUUAGGGUUAGGAUAAGUUGAAAAAAUGUAUUUCUGACAUGCAGGUGAAAAAUAAAGACUGCAAAAAAUCUUAACUGCUACAGCUCAUUUUAUUGCCCUUUUCCGGCUAUAACAGUUGGCUAGUAUGUCUGAAAUAGACGUAAAAACCUAUUUCAAAAAGUAUUUUUAGGCAAAGUACGUUUAAUUGGCAAAUUGAGAGAUAAAUUUGUGAAAAAAAUACCACUUGUUUUGGUGGGAUUCGAACCCACGACUCCAUUAUCGCUAGUCCGGCGCUUUAACCAACUAAGCUACAGAACAAGUUACAACUCUGCAGAAUAGAAAGUCAAACUGGAUUCGAAGCACCACCCUAAACCGAGUCCGUCUUUCACAACUUUAUCUCUCUUUCGGCUCUUAGAUGCCGAAUGUCCCGCACUCUCGUGACCUAUAAACAAAAUGAGUGCUUCUUCUUCUUUUGUUGUUGUCGAGGGACUUUAACCCGAAAGAAAGUCAAACAGGAUUCGAAGCACCACCCUAAACCGGGUCCGUCUUUCACAACUUUAUCUUUAUUUCGGCUCUUAAAUGCCGAAUCUCCCGCACUCUCGUGGCCUAUGAACAAAAAGUGUGCUUCUUCUUCUGUUGUCAAGGGACUUUAAAAAAAAUGUGUGCGUAUUGUUUUUAGAAUGUUGAUAUUGAAGCUCCACUGACACAUAAGCGGGCCCCACACGGGUAUCAAUACUUCAUCAAUAUCGAUACUUUUUGUAGGAAUUUUCAUUAAACCCAUAGUUUUUCCAAUGUACUUUUGACAAAUCUUUCGAUCAAGCUGAAGGUUUGAUGAAAAUUUCGACAAAAAGUACCGAUAUUGAUGAAGUAUUGAUGCUCGUGUGGGGUCCGCUAUACUUCGUCACCAACCAUAUGAUCGGUGCAAACUCAGUAUGCGUUGAAUGCUCAACGCGGACGGACGCACGACCGUCCAACUGCGUUAGAGAGAACGCAGCGCAAAAUAAAAGUUAUUGCAACCCGCAUAGUAUAACAUAAAUCGCUGUGGUUCAUUUAUUUUCUUUGUGUACGAGAUCAUUUACCCUAGGCUAGUUUACACCGUGUCCAGUAAGUUCUCAUACAAAAUACAAAUUUACAAAAUAUAGUUUUGUUUCCCAUUUGGACUUGUAUUUUUAAAAUGAAUGCAUGUAUUGAAGGGCCACAUAAUACUGAUUAGCAUUACACUUGCGUUUUUUGAAAUCCGUUUGCUCCGGCACGCAAGAAAAAUGUUCGAAACGUUUUUCACUCUACGGUACCUAAAUAGAGUCCAUACAGUUGAAUUUUGAGUUUUUAUCCCAAGUAUUGUACCAAAUUGAUAUACAAAGGCUAAAACAAUACAAUUUUAGUGAUAAUAUGGUACGAAAUUUGCAAGUUAGCGUAACUUGGGCUGAUUUUCUUGGAAAUGACCAUUAUAUUAACCCUCUAAUACCCAAAUUUUUUAUUUUGAUCUGAAUAUCAUUUUUCGUCAUCUAAAAUCGGUUUAAACAUGUUUUGGAAGAUGAUUCUUUUUAAUUCUCGAUUUUGUGAAUUUCAGUUUUUGAUUUAUCUAAUUUUUAUUUUUUAAUAUCCCCACACUUUUAUAUUUUUCCUGGAAGCUUAUUUGGCAUACGGAUUUUUUGAGACGAACACAUUUUGAGAUUUUAAGAUUAUUGUUGAAAUAUAUUUAUUUUAAUUUUUUUUUCAUGUAAAAUUUUAUUUGCCGUAUAAUUUUAAGGAAAAUCAUUUUAGAGUGUAUUCGAUUCCCUUAAAUUAUUCUACUAUGACAGAAUGAUUUGGGAAAAAUUUAAAAUAUGUUAUUUAUAGCGAAUCAAUACAAAAUAAUCAAUAACUUCUGAAAGGUGACUAACACAUCAAUUUUUCAAUGAUUUUUUGAAAAUGUAAAUACGCUCUGAAAGACAUCAAAAACCAUUUUGAGAUAUACAGAACAGUCCUAAGUGUCAGCCAAAAAUAUCAAAUUUUAUAUAUAUUGUUCAAAUAACGUUGCAUAUUGUGAGAAUGAAAACUUCUGAUGAAAAGUUGAAAUAUAACGAGACAUUCUGCCAAACGGUUUGCUGCGAUAUUGGGGCUUCACAUUUACACACGCAUAUUUUACUAUAGAUUAAAGUUAUCUAACUGUUUGACAUACAGUUGCACGCGUAAAUGUUCGUGUGCUUUGAAAAAAGAAUCCGAUGGACCCGACCGAAUCCACAAAUCAGUUGGUAGCGUUUUUGCUUUGAUUUUUUGUGUUUUCCCGAAAAAGUUCGGAUGCUGAUCCCGUUUGGCAAUGGGAUAACGUUUUUGGCUGCAUUUACACCCCACCGAUGGCUGCAGGUAAUAAAAACGCCCCGGAAAAUGUCGUAAUCUGGCGAGCCAGAGGAGGUGUUGUGGCUGAGAUUUUGAGGCGCAGUAGAAAGCCGUUGCCCGCACGGGUUUGUUGAGAAAAGUCCCACAGAAGUUGUUAGCCGAGCUAUCUCCGAGCUAUCCGAGCUAUCCGAGCUAUCGAGCAGCAGCCUGGCUGCUGUCAAAUUUCAGUCUGCAGUCCUCAGGUAGCAACUAUGACCAAAAAAGAAAAUUCAUGAUAUUCUGUAUUGGUGAAGUAUGAAACCGUUUUAUUUUGUUCAAAAUAAAACGUAAAUUAAGCAAAACUGUCCAUUUAACUAUUUUGAUUUGUCGUGUUAAAGAAGCAUGGUUGCUUAUUAUCUUGUUGCUUCACAUUCUAACAUAUGUUUGUAUCCCUAAUGUGGUAAAUUUUGUCCAAAAAUUAUGUUUUAUGAUGUUUAUUUUUAACCCUCUAAUACCCAACCCCGUUUUUAGACGGGGUAUAGUUUGAGCAUUUUUAUAAUUUUUGUUUCGUGGAUAAUAAAAAAAAAUAUAUUUUUGGCUGACAUCUCAAAAUGGUUUUUGAUGUCUUUCAGAGCGUAUUUACAUUUUCAAAAAAUCAUUGAAAAAUUGAUGUUUUAGUCACCUUUCGGAAGUUAUUGAUUAUUUUGUAUUGAUUCGCUAUAAAUAACAUAUUUUAUUUUUUUCCCAAAUCAUUCUAUCAUAGUAGAAUAAUUUAAGGGAAUCGAAUACACUCUAAAAUGAUUUUCCUUAAAAUUACACGGCAAAUAAAAUUUUACAUGAAAAAAAUUUAAAAUAAAUAUAUUUCAACAAUAAUCUUAAAAUCUCAGAAUGUGUUCGUCUCAAAAAAUCCGUAUGCCAAAUAGGCUUCCAGGAAACAUAUAAAAGUGUGGGGAUAUUAAAAAAUAAAAAUUAGAUACAUCAAAAACUGAAAUUCACAAAAUCGAGAAUUAAAAAGAAUCAUCUUCCAAAACAUGUUUAAAUCGAUUUUUGAUGACGAAAAAUGAUAUUCAGAUCAAAAUAAAAAAUUUGGGUAUUAGAGGGUUAAUAUAAUGGUCAUUUCCAAGAAAAUCAGCCCAAGUUACGCUAACUUGCAAAUUUCGUACCAUAUUAUCACUAAAAUUGUAUUGUUUUAGCCUUUGUAUAUCAAUUUGGUACAAUACUUGGGAUAAAAACUCAAAAUUCAACUGUACACACUCAAUCCUGAAUUGCCUGUUCAGCACUUUUUUGACGAAAAUAGAACAGCAGAACUAGUUCGGUAGCUUCGGUAAUCGAUUUUACUGAAGCUCAGUACACCAACUGUCAAAACCUGGUACAAAAGGUAAACAAUGCAGUAUAGCUGUAUACAGCUGCUCUAUUUUCGUCAAAAAUUUACCGAACACGUUAUUCAAAAUUAAGUGUGUAUGGACUCUAUUUAGGUACCGUAGAGUGAAAAACGUUUCGAACAUUUUUCUUGCGUGCCGGAGCAAACGGAUUUCAAAAAACGCAAGUGUAAUGCUAGGCUUAUAAAAACAAAUAGAAAAUAACGUUAUUCUGAACCGUAUGCUUUAUUUAAUCAGUAUUAUGUGGCCCUUCAAUACAUGUAUUCAUUUUAAAAAUACAAGUCCAAAUGGGAAACAAAACUAUAUUUUUGCCUUUCUCGUACACUAAGUGUACUGGAAAGGCUAUAUGUUCACUCCAAAAAUGACUUUUUGAUAGAAGGCCCGGAGGGUCGAGUCACAUAUACCAAUCAACUCAGCUCGACGAAUUGAGGUGAUGUCUGUGUGUGUGUAUGUAUGUGUGUGUGUGUAUGUAUGUGUGUGUGUAUGUGUGUGUACAAAAAAAACUCACAUCACUUUUUGGCAGUAAACCUCAACCGAUUUUAAUGACCAAUAGUUCAUUCGACGCGGAAUCUGGUCCCAUUGUUUCCUAUUGAAAAUGGUUCGAAUCGGUCAAGCCGUUCCGGAGUUAUGGCCAUCUAGGUGUUCCGGAUCGGUACCCCAGGAAGUGGCCAGAUAUGAAAACGAUACAAACCCAUUCAUGCGACACAUCAAACCGCGGCACUUUCGAAAACAUGAUGAAUGGUAAACAGGAAAAUAGUCUCGGACCAUAUCUGAACCGGUAGUGUUCCGGAACCGGUUCCGGGUGACCCGCCGGAAGUGGCCAAAUAUGAAAGUGAACCAAACCCAUACAUGCGACACAUCAAACAGCGGAUUUUUCGAUAACCUGAUAAACAGUAGGCAGGAAAACAUUCUCAGACCAUAUUUGAACUGGUAGUAUUCUGGAACCGGUUCUGGGUGUUCCGCCGGAAGUGGCUAAAUAUGAAAGUGAACCAAACCCAUGCUUGCGAUACAUGAAACAGCGGCUUUUUCGAUAGCCUGAUGAACAGUAGGUAGGAAAAUAUUCUCGGACCAUAUAUGAACCGGUAGUGUUCCGGAACCGGUUCCGGGUGACCUGCCGGAAGUGGCCAAAUAUGAAAGUGAACCAAACCCAUACAUGCGACACAUCAAACAGCGGAUUUUUCGAUAACCUUAUAAACAGUAGGUAGGAAAACAUUCUCAGACAAUAUCUGAACCGGUAGUAUGCCGGAACCGGUUCUGGGUGUUACGACGGAAGUGGCCAAAUAUGAAAGUAAACCAAACCCAUGCAUGCGAUACAUCAAACAGCGGCUUUUUCGAAGCUCGAAGCACAUCAAUACCAAAGUAUGAAGUCAAAUUCGACUCAGUUAUUAUUGACGACGAUCUGAAACUUCUGAUCCGUCUUAAAAACGUGAGAAGAAGACAAUUCCAACGAACUCGAGAUCCUGCUUUGAAAGUAAUCUGGCAGGAUCUUCAGAAGGAAAUUAAAAAACGUUUCACCGAAUUGAGAAACAAAAAUUUUGCAAAUAAAGUUUCUCAAUUAAACCCCGACUCUAAGCCGUUUUGGAAAUUGACAAAAAUUUUGAAAAAAACCUCAGAAGCCUAUUCCUGCACUGAAAGAGGAUAACAAAAUAUUAUUAACUAAUUCUGAAAAA